UACGUAGGGUGCAAGCGUUGUCCGGAAUUAUUGGGCGUAAAGAGCUCGUAGGCGGUCUGUCGCGUCGGCUGUGAAAACCCGAGGCUCAACCUCGGGCCUGCAGUCGAUACGGGCGGACUGGAGUUCGGCAGGGGAGACUGGAAUUCCUGGUGUAGCGGUGAAAUGCGCAGAUAUCAGGAGGAACACCGGUGGCGAAGGCGGGUCUCUGGGCCGAUACUGACGCUGAGGAGCGAAAGCGUGGGGAGCGAACAGG
rnacentral:rRNA from 1 species